rnacentral:rRNA from 1 species
GACGAACGCUGGCGGCGUGCCUAAUACAUGCCAGUCGAACGAACCGCGACUAGGUGCUUGCACUUGGUCAAGGUGAGUGGCGAACGGGUGAGUAACACGUGGGUAACCUACCUCAUAGUGGGGGAUAACAGUCGGAAACGACUGCUAAUACCGCAUAGGACAUAGGAUCACAUGAUCCAGUGAGGAAAGGUGGCGCAAGCUAUCGCUAAGAGAUGGACCCGCGGUGCAUUAGCUAGUUGGUAGGGUAAAGGCCUACCAAGGCGAUGAUGCAUAGCCGACCUGAGAGGGUGAUCGGCCACAUUGGGACUGAGACACGGCCCAAACUCCUACGGGAGGCAGCAGUAGGGAAUCUUCCGCAAUGGACGCAAGUCUGACGGAGCAACGCCGCGUGAGUGAAGAAGGUCUUCGGAUCGUAAAGCUCUGUUGUUAGAGAAGAACAGCGCAUAGAGUAACUGUUAUGCGUGUGACGGUAGCUAACCAGAAAGCCACGGCUAACUACGUG